AUGAACGCUGGCGGCGUGCCUAAUACCUGCCAGUCGAGCGAACGGACGAGAAGCUUGCUUCUCUGAUGUUAGCGGCGGACGGGUGAGUAACACGUGGAUAACCUACCUAUAAGACUGGGAUAACUUCGGGAAACCGUAGCUAAUACCGGAUAAUAUUUUGAACCGCAUGGUUCAAAAGUGAAAGACGGUCUUGCUGUCACUUAUAGAUGGAUCCGCGCUGCAUUAGCUAGUUGGUAAGGUAACGGCUUACCAAGGCAACGAUGCAUAGCCGACCUGAGAGGGUGAUCGGCCACACUGGAACUGAGACACGGUCCAGACUCCUACGGGAGGCAGCAGUAGGGAAUCUUCCGCAAUGGGCGAAAGCCUGACGGAGCAACGCCGCGUGAGUGAUGAAGGUCUUCGGAUCGUAAAACUCUGUUAUUAGGGAAGAACAUAUGUGUAAGUAACUGUGCACAUCUUGACGGUACCUAAUCAGAAAGCCACGGCUAACUACGUG
rnacentral:rRNA from 1 species